rnacentral:lncRNA from 1 species
AGCUUGGGUAGUGCAGAUAUCGAUGUGGAUAUUUAACAACUAGUUACGGAUACAUGUUACAUGCUGUUUCUGCGUUUUUCAUGUUCGCAUAUCAACACGUGGCUGCUAUUCCCAGCGCAGAAGGCAAGUGUUAUGAUUAUAUUUAUUCAUCAGGCGUUUCGUUGCACCAAGAGAAGUGAAUUCAUUAUGGAUUGCAGAAUACUCGUCAUCUUUGGAGCGAUGUGUGUCAUGAUGGCGGUAUUUUGUGAUGCUAAUACGGUCUUGUCAAUGUUUAGGGGCAAAGGUGCAACUAUGCAACAUCCCUGGUGCGAGCUCUUGAUCGCGUAAGUGUUGCUAGUGCCCUCCACCCCUAAAUGUUGGCAAGACCUAAUUGGCGCACAACAUUGGGACCGACGCUGGAUCAGCAGAAGUCAAAAGACACAAUUGUGAGAACGGAAGUUUGAAGUUGUAAAGCUGAAAAUUUUAGUUGACGUGGCCGAGGAGAUAGCGGACAUGGCUUGUUAACUUUCAUUUGUAGUUGAGGUGAAUGAGACUGCACCAAGUUUUCCGCAUGUACUAUGCAUGCCUAUUGGCUUCUUGGUAUCUUGAUGAUUUUAGUCCACGAGCUAUGUGAACAUUACUGCCUCGUUUCUACGCAACGUUUUCAGUUUUGUCCUAUCUGCUAGUCCCUGAAGUUAGUGAGUUUUGGAAUUUUACUGACUACCAAUCCACACCCACUGUAAAUAGCUCUUUAGAAUAUUAAUUUGAUAUUUUCUUCUUGUCUAAUAUUCAUCUAGUUUUCGUCUUGGCUUUCAAGUUAACUUGUUUGUUCCUCCAUUAUUGAAAAUGCUCCACUAUGUUUUGCUUACUCUACUGAUUGAGGUCACUGAUUCAGCCUUUGGAAGGUAAUGUUACGAAACUAUAGUUUGGAGAGUCAAUCUGUCACGGAUAAGACGAACAAGUGUUCGUCAUUUGCAUGUGUAGCUCAAAUAUAAUCCACAAGUUGGCUUGUAAUAAUGGCUUAUCUUCAUUGGUUGUUAGGCCUGACAUAGGUAAACAAUUCUCAUGGCUAGUUUUGUGUCGAGAGUUCUCAUCUGCGGCACUCUUUUACUUGAUCCUUUUCAGUUUUCUUGUGUCGAAGGAAAAUCUCACCCAUCUCUUCAUUGUAUGCUCUAGAAUCUGAUUCCAGCCUCACCCGGUCCAAAUUCUCACUAGUUACAAAUUCUUUUGACAGGUACAUGAUUCCCUGCAUGUGCAAAUGUUUUCUCUCAUAUAUAUAUAUAUAUAUAUAUAUAUCCAAAUAUGCAUAUACUUAUGUGAUAGAAACUGAAGAUAUUCGAAAUCUUUGAAGAUUUGGUGCAGGGUUGAAAGGGAGAGUCUGUUUAUAUUGCACUCAAAAAAUGUUUCCUGUGAAACAUUGGAUAAUCAGUUUUGGCUUGUUUUCAUGAAUUUGUUUUAUUCAGAGGCCUCAUUGGAAUAAUUUUUUACUUCUAAGAUAUCCUUGAAGCAAUAAGAUUAAUUUCCUUCCAUAAUUGAUGAUAUCAAUUUUAACAUUCCAUAAUUGAUGAUAUCAAUUAUGGAAUGUUAAAAUUUUAAAUAUUUUGUUAAAGCAUAUAUUUGAUAAAAAUGUAUCAUGGACAUACAUGGAAAUUCUAGUAAAUAUUUAUAUGAUUAGGUAGGAAUAAAUAAAAGUAAAUAAAAGUAUUUCAUAAGAUCUUUUAGAGUAGCUUCCUAGAAGCUUCAUAGUUGCUGCUUGACUUUACAUGUGUUUGUAG